UACGUAGGGUGCGAGCGUUAAUCGGAAUUACUGGGCGUAAAGCGCACGUAGGCGGCUUUGUAAGUCAGAGGUGAAAUCCCGGGGCUCAACUCCGGAACUGCCUUUGAGAUCUGCAUCGCUUGAAUCCAGGAGAGGUGAGUGGAAUUCCGAGUGUAGAGGUGAAAUUCGUAGAUAUUCGGAAGAACACCAGUGGCGAAGGCGGCUGCACUGGACUGGUAUUGA
rnacentral:rRNA from 1 species